GAUGAACGCUGGCGGUGUGCCUAAUACAUGCAAGUCGAGCGAAUGACGAGGUGCUUGCUCCUCUGAUUUAGCGGCGGACGGGUGAGUAACACGUGGGUAACCUGCCUGUAAGACGGGGAUAACUCCGGGAAACCGGAGCUAAUACCGGAUGAUAACGAGAAGCGCCUGCUUCUUUUUUGAAAGUCGGUUUCGGCUGACGCUUACAGAUGGGCCCGCGGCGCAUUAGCUAGUUGGUGAGGUAACGGCUCACCAAGGCGACGAUGCGUAGCCGACCUGAGAGGGUGAUCGGCCACACUGGGACUGAGACACGGCCCAGACUCCUACGGGAGGCAGCAGUAGGGAAUCUUCGGCAAUGGACGAAAGUCUGACCGAGCAACGCCGCGUGAGCGAUGAAGGCCUUCGGGUCGUAAAGCUCUGUUGUCAGAGAAGAACAAGUACCGGAGUAACUGCCGGUACCUUGACGGUACCUGACCAGAAAGCCACGGCUAACUACGUGCCAGCAGCCGCGGUAAAAC
rnacentral:rRNA from 1 species